CCCUAUGGGGUGCAGCAGGAUAUCGUCAAAUGUGAGGGCUUCGGGGAUGUCGGAAGGGCGCUUUACGUCCAUAAAAUCUCUCCAUAUCUGGGUGAUGCAAGCAUCGUGAAGCGUGGAGUUGACAUGUGCACCAAAAAAUAAGAGUCGGGAUUCCGGAGCAUCCAGCCUGCGGCGGUUGCUGUGAAUCCCUUCCGCUGGUCAAUUUAUAAAUAAAACAUUAAUGAUACCUUCCUCGUCCGAAGGCGUCAAGCACUAAGAUAAUAUGUGAAAUUCCAGGAGGUUGGGAGAGGUGGACGGCCUGAAGCGCCGUGACGGAAGAGAUUAUAUCAUUUGCGCCAAAGGAGGAAGUUGACAUCCCGCAUGCGAGGGGCGCACCUGCCUAAAUUCUUUCCGGACCUUGUUGUGGGCGGGAGGGC
rnacentral:rRNA from 1 species